CCUACGGGAGGCAGCAGUGAGGAAUAUUGGUCAAUGGGCGAGAGCCUGAACCAGCCAAGUCGCGUGAGGGAGUACUGCCCUAUGGGUUGUAAACCUCUUUUGUCGGGGAGCAAAAGCCGGACGUGUCCGGCUGUGAGAGUACCCGAAGAAAAAGCAUCGGCUAACUACGUGCCAGCAGCCGCGGUAAUACGGAGGAUGCGAGCGUUAUCCGGAUUUAUUGGGUUUAAAGGGUGCGCAGGCGGAUUUUUAAGUCAGCGGUAAAAUCGUGGGGCGCAACCCCAUCCAGCCGUUGAAACUGGGGAUCUAGAGUGUGCGAGAGGUAUGCGGAAUGCGUGGUGUAGCGGUGAAAUGCAUAGAUAUCACGCAGAACCCCGAUUGCGAAGGCAGCAUACCGGUGCACAACUGACGCUCAGGCACGAAAGCGUGGGUAUCGAACAGGAUUAGAUACCCUUGUAGUC
rnacentral:rRNA from 1 species